AUUGAACGCUGGCGGCAGGCCUAACACAUGCAAGUCGAACGAGCGGCGGACGGGUGAGUAAUGUCUGGGAAACUGCCUGAUGGAGGGGGAUAACUACUGGAAACGGUAGCUAAUACCGCAUACCAUCAGAUGUGCCCAGAUGGGAUUAGCUUGUUGGUGGGGUAAUGGCGCAGCAAGGCGAAGAUCCCUAGCUGGUCUGAGAGGAUGACCAGCCACCAUGGAACUGAGACACGGCCCAGACUCCUACGGGAGGCAGCAGUGGGGAAUAUUGCACAAUGGGCGCAAGCCUGAUGCAGCCAUGCCGCGUGUGUGAAGAAGGCCUUCGGGUUGUAAAGCACUUUCAGCGGGGAGGCGUUACCCGCAGAAGAAGCACCGGCUAACUCCGUGCCAGCAGCCGCGGUAAUUC
rnacentral:rRNA from 1 species